GCUUGGAGAAGAGGAGGAGGCUGAAAAGAAGGCAAAGAGUGAAGAUAGAGAAACAAGAUGGAAGUGGGGGAGAAAAACAGGGAUGAGAGAAUGCCAUGGUGGUGCUGAGAAGGAAAGGAGAGACUUUUCUGCUUGUAAAGGGCAGAAGAUGGCAGAAUCCAGUGACGCAGGGGCAUCUGGCUCCAGAAAUAAUAGGUCACUUGGCACCCACUUCUUCAAAACAACUCGUAGAGGUACCACCUUGGUUGUCUUGGAUAAAAUCUGGAAUAAUUAUCUGGGUUACCAGGAGAGACCCUUGUUCUUUUCGCUUACUUUCUCCAAAACAUAUGAAGCCUCUCUCUCUGUGCUGAACCACCUGGAACUGGAGGUGUGAUGAGUUAUAGAGAUGAAAAUGCAUAUGGAAUUAUCAUGCAAAUUACCAAUAAAGAGAAUCACUGGUCAGAAUCCCUAUAUUUUGGAGAAGAAAAAUUUUGAAAACCAGUCAGAAUUCAAUCAACUGCAGUUGGGAGAAAGACAGCGAGUAGCUUGAGAGAGAUGAGAAACUAUCAAAAAGAAGUUCCUGACAUGGCAACAGUGUAUCAUCCAAUGAAUCAAUCGCCUCACCCAACACUGUAACACUUCCUGGCCUAUUGACUCAGAGCAUGAGGAAACCAAAGUGACCAGGGAUUAAAAGCUAUCUCUGGAGAAGAUGAUGUCAGCAAGAUGGCAGAAUAGAAAAAUCCAGGUCCUGGUUCCACCACAGAAACAUGAAGUAAACAACAAAGGAAUGGCUUAAUAGCCUUGUGAGAGCUCUAGAAACCAGUCAAGA
rnacentral:lncRNA from 10 species